rnacentral:rRNA from 1 species
UGGGGAAUAUUGCACAAUGGGCGCAAGCUUGAUGCAGCGACGCCGCGUGGAGGAUGAAGGUCUUCGGAUUGUAAACUUCUGUUAAGUGGGAAGAAAGACUACAGUUGAAUAAGCUGUAGGGAUGACGGUACCACUAGAGAAAGCACCGGCAAACUUCGUGCCAGCAGCCGCGGUAAUACGAAGGGUGCAAGCGUUAUUCGGAGUUACUGGGCGUAAAGAGCGCGUAGGCGGUCUGUUAAGUUAUUUGUUAAAGCUCCUGGCUUAACCGGGAAAAGGCAGGUAAAACUGGCAGACUAGAGAGUAAGAGAGAGAAGUGGAAUUCUCGGAGUAGCGGUAAAAUGCGUAGAUCUCGAGAGGAACACCGGAAGCGAAGGCGGCUUCUUGGCUUAUUUCUGACGCUCAAGUGCGAAAGCGUGGGGAGCAAACAGG